UUCUUAUAGAAUUUAUUAUAAGUAAAACCUGCUCCAUGAAUUUUAAAUAGCCGCAAUUUCUGUGCUAAGGUAGCAUAAUCAUUUGUCUUAUAAUUAAAGACUAGUAUGAAUGGUUAAACGAUUUAUAAACUUUCUUAUUUUUAAUAACCAAAUUUAUUUUAAGAAUAAAAAAAUUCUUAUUUAUUAAAAAGACGACAAGACCCUAUCAAACUUCACUUUAGUUCAGCUGGGGCAGCUUCUCAACUAUAUCUUUUAUUUAUUUUCAUCCAUCAAUGAUCUAAUUAAAUUACUYUAUGAACAAGUUACUGUAGGGAUAACAGCGUAAUUAUAUUUUAAAGUUCUUAUCAAAAAUAUAGAUUGCGACCUCGAUGUUGAAUAGUUUAAUUUAAUAGCGCAAUAGCUAUUUCAAUAAGUCUGUUCGACUUUUAAUCUUCUACA
rnacentral:rRNA from 1 species